GGGGGGCAAGUAGAGUGGCGCACGGGUGAGUAACACGUAGGUAAUCUACCUUCGGAUUGGGAAUAACAACCGGAAACGGUUGCUAAUACCGAAUAAUGCAGCGGCACCUAAUGGUGACAGUUGUUAAAGCGGGGGAUCGAAAGACCUCGCGUCUGAAGAGGAGCCUGCGGCGGAUUAGCUAGUUGGUAAGGUAACGGCUUACCAAGGCGAUGAUCCGUAGCCGGCCUGAGAGGGCGGUCGGCCACACUGACACUGACAUACGGGUCAGACUCCUACGGGAGGCAGCAGUCGGGAAUUUUGGGCAAUGGGCGAAAGCCUGACCCAGCAACGCCGCGUGAAGGAUGAAAUCCUUCGGGAUGUAAACUUCGCAAGAACGGGAAGAAUAAGUGAGAGUUAAUAUCUUUCACGAUGACGGUACUGUUUGUAAGCUCCGGCUAACUCCGUGCCAGCAGCCGCGGUAAUACGGGGGGAGCAAGCGUUGUUCGGAUUUACUGGGCGUAAAGGGCGCGUAGGCGGCCACCGCAAGUCGACUGUGAAAUCUCCGGGCUUAACCCGGAAAGGUCAGCCGAUACUGCGGGGCUAAAGUGCAGAAGGGGCAACUGGAAUUCUCGGUGUAGCGGUGAAAUGCGUAGAUAUCGAGAGGAACACUGCGGCGAAGGCNGGUUGCUGGGCUGACACUGACGCUGAGGUGCGAAAGCUAGGGGAGCGAACGGGAUUAGAUACCCCGGUAGUCUAGCCUUAA
rnacentral:rRNA from 1 species